GAUACAACAGAAUUAUCUAUCGUAUUCAAUCAUCAAACACAAUAUUCCAUCAUUUGAUCUCACUUCACAUU
rnacentral:tRNA from 1 species